rnacentral:ncRNA from 1 species
UUAUGAUAGAGGUGCAGAUGCUAAGAGUACCGCUGUAAAAAGGCUUCGCAGGCUAUGUGCAGCGCGAAAGGCGUAUCUGCCGAAAGGUAAGUCAGGCGUAAGCUUACCUUGGUAAUGCGGACAAUAUCCGUAGUACUGUCGCCGGUCAGACUGUGCGGAGAGCUAUCUU